rnacentral:rRNA from 1 species
AGUGAACGCUGGCGGUAGGCCUAACACAUGCAAGUCGAACGGCAGCACAGUAAGAGCUUGCUCUUACGGGUGGCGAGUGGCGGACGGGUGAGGAAUACAUCGGAAUCUACUUUUUCGUGGGGGAUAACGUAGGGAAACUUACGCUAAUACCGCAUACGACCUACGGGUGAAAGCAGGGGAUCUUCGGACCUUGCGCGAUUGAAUGAGCCGAUGUCGGAUUAGCUAGUUGGCGGGGUAAAGGCCCACCAAGGCGACGAUCCGUAGCUGGUCUGAGAGGAUGAUCCGCCACACUGGAACUGAGACACGGUCCAGACUCCUACGGGAGGCAGCAGUGGGGAAUAUUGGACAAUGGGCGCAAGCCUGAUCCAACCAUACCGCGUGGGUGAAGAAGGCCUUCGGGUUGUAAAGCCCUUUUGUUGGGAAAGAAAAGCAGCAGGUUAAUACCCCGCUGUUCUGACGGUACCCAAAGAAUAAGCACCGGCUAACUUCGUG